GAACGCUGGCGGCAUGCCUCAUACAUGCAAGUCGAACGAAAUCUUUGGAUUUAGUGGCGCACGGGUGAGUAACAUGUGGGAAUCUACCUGAAGGUUCGGAAUAACUGCGGGAAACUGUAGCUAAUACCGGAUGUGUCUGAAAAGAGAAAGAUUUAUCGCCUUCAGAUGAGCCCGCACUAGAUUAGCUAGUUGGUGAGGUAACUGCUCCACCAAGGCUACGAUCUAUAGCUGAUUUGAGAGGAUGAUCAGCCACACUGGGACUGAGACACGGCCCAGACUCCUACGGGAGGCAGCAGUAGGGAAUAUUGGACAAUGGGGGAAACCCUGAUCCAGCAAUGCCGCGUGAGUGAAGAAGGCCUUAGGGUUGUAAAGCUCUUUCGUCGGGGAAGAAAAUGACUGUACCCGAAUAAGAAGGUCCGGCUAACU
rnacentral:rRNA from 1 species